GGGUUGUGAGGUUAAGCGACUAAGCGUACACGGUGGAUGCCCUGGCAGUCAGAGGCGAUGAAGGACGUGCUAAUCUGCGAAAAGCGUCGGUAAGGUGAUAUGAACCGUUACAGCCGGCGAUGUCCGAAUGGGGAAACCCAGUGUGAUUCGUCACACUAUCGUUAACUGAAUACAUAGGUUAACGAGGCGAACCGGGGGAACUGAAACAUCUAAGUACCCCGAGGAAAAGAAAUCAACCGAGAUUCCCCCAGUAGCGGCGAGCGAACGGGGAGCAGCCCAGAGUCUGAAUCAGCUUGUGUGUUAGUGGAACGGUCUGGAAAGUCCGACGGUACAGGGUGAUAGUCCCGUACACCAAAAUGCACAGGUUGUGAACUCGAAGAGUAGGGCGGGACACGUGGUAUCCUGUCUGAAUAUGGGGGGACCAUCCUCCAAGGCUAAAUACUCCUGACUGACCGAUAGUGAACCAGUACCGUGAGGGAAAGGCGAAAAGAACCCCGGCGAGGGGAGUGAAAAAGAACCUGAAACCGUGUACGUACAAGCAGUGGGAGCACCUUCGGGUGUGACUGCGUACCUUUUGUAUAAUGGGUCAGCGACUUAUAUUCUGUAGCAAGGUUAACCGUAUAGGGGAGCCGCAGGGAAACCGAGUCUUAACUGGGCGUUAAGUUGCAGGGUAUAGACCCGAAACCCGGUGAUCUAGCCAUGGGCAGGUUGAAGGUUGGGUAACACUAACUGGAGGACCGAACCGACUAAUGUUGAAAAAUUAGCGGAUGACUUGUGGCUGGGGGUGAAAGGCCAAUCAAACCGGGAGAUAGCUGGUUCUCCCCGAAAGCUAUUUAGGUAGCGCCUCGUGAAUUCAUCUUCGGGGGUAGAGCACUGUUUCGGCUAGGGGGUCAUCCCGACUUACCAACCCGAUGCAAACUACGAAUACCGAAGAAUGUUAUCACGGGAGACACACGGCGGGUGCUAACGUCCGUCGUGAAGAGGGAAACAACCCAGACCGCCAGCUAAGGUCCCAAAGUCAUGGUUAAGUGGGAAACGAUGUGGGAAGGCACAGACAGCCAGGAUGUUGGCUUAGAAGCAGCCAUCAUUUAAAGAAAGCGUAAUAGCUCACUGGUCGAGUCGGCCUGCGCGGAAGAUGUAACGGGGCUAAACCAUGCACCGAAGCUGCGGCAGCGACACUAUGUGUUGUUGGGUAGGGGAGCGUUCUGUAAGCCUGCGAAGGUGACCUGUGAGGGUUGCUGGAGGUAUCAGAAGUGCGAAUGCUGACAUAAGUAACGAUAAAGCGGGUGAAAAGCCCGCUCGCCGGAAGACCAAGGGUUCCUGUCCAACGUUAAUCGGGGCAGGGUGAGUCGACCCCUAAGGCGAGGCCGAAAGGCGUAGUCGAUGGGAAACAGGUUAAUAUUCCUGUACUUGGUGUUACUGCGAAGGGGGGACGGAGAAGGCUAUGUUAGCCGGGCGACGGUUGUCCCGGUUUAAGCAUGUAGGCUGGUUAUCCAGGCAAAUCCGGAUAAUCAAGGCUGAGGUGUGAUGACGAGGCACUACGGUGCUGAAGUAACAAAUGCCCUGCUUCCAGGAAAAGCCUCUAAGCAUCAGGUAACAUCAAAUCGUACCCCAAACCGACACAGGUGGUCAGGUAGAGAAUACCAAGGCGCUUGAGAGAACUCGGGUGAAGGAACUAGGCAAAAUGGUGCCGUAACUUCGGGAGAAGGCACGCUGGUGUGUAGGUGAAGUCCCUGCGGAUGGAGCUGAGACCAGUCGAAGAUACCAGCUGGCUGCAACUGUUUAUUAAAAACACAGCACUGUGCAAACACGAAAGUGGACGUAUACGGUGUGACGCCUGCCCGGUGCCGGAAGGUUAAUUGAUGGGGUUAUCCGUAAGGAGAAGCUCUUGAUCGAAGCCCCGGUAAACGGCGGCCGUAACUAUAACGGUCCUAAGGUAGCGAAAUUCCUUGUCGGGUAAGUUCCGACCUGCACGAAUGGCGUAAUGAUGGCCAGGCUGUCUCCACCCGAGACUCAGUGAAAUUGAACUCGCUGUGAAGAUGCAGUGUACCCGCGGCAAGACGGAAAGACCCCGUGAACCUUUACUAUAGCUUGACACUGAACAUUGAGCCUUGAUGUGUAGGAUAGGUGGGAGGCUUUGAAGCGUGGACGCCAGUCUGCGUGGAGCCAACCUUGAAAUACCACCCUUUAAUGUUUGAUGUUCUAACGUUGGCCCCUUACCGGGGUUGCGGACAGUGUCUGGUGGGUAGUUUGACUGGGGCGGUCUCCUCCCAAAGCGUAACGGAGGAGCACGAAGGUUAGCUAAUCCUGGUCGGACAUCAGGAGGUUAGUGCAAUGGCAUAAGCUAGCUUGACUGCGAGCGUGACGGCGCGAGCAGGUGCGAAAGCAGGUCAUAGUGAUCCGGUGGUUCUGAAUGGAAGGGCCAUCGCUCAACGGAUAAAAGGUACUCCGGGGAUAACAGGCUGAUACCGCCCAAGAGUUCAUAUCGACGGCGGUGUUUGGCACCUCGAUGUCGGCUCAUCACAUCCUGGGGCUGAAGUAGGUCCCAAGGGUAUGGCUGUUCGCCAUUUAAAGUGGUACGCGAGCUGGGUUUAGAACGUCGUGAGACAGUUCGGUCCCUAUCUGCCGUGGGCGCUGGAGAAUUGAGGGGGGCUGCUCCUAGUACGAGAGGACCGGAGUGGACGCAUCACUGGUGUUCGGGUUGUCAUGCCAAUGGCACUGCCCGGUAGCUAAAUGCGGAAGAGAUAAGUGCUGAAAGCAUCUAAGCACGAAACUUGCCCCGAGAUGAGUUCUCCCUGAGACUUUAAGUCUCCUGAAGGAACGUUAAAGACGAUGACGUUGAUAGGCCGGGUGUGUAAGCGCAGCGAUGCGUUGAGCUAACCGGUACUAAUGAACCGUGAGGCUUAACCUUACAACGCCGAAG
rnacentral:rRNA from 1 species